AUGGUGGAUUACUAUGAAGUUCUGGGCGUGCAGAGAUACGCCUCACCCGAGGCUAUCCAAAAAGGCAUACUGGAAGCAGGCACUCAAGUAGCACCCAGAUAAAAAUCCUGAAAAUAAAGAAGUGGAGGGAAAGUUCAAACAAGUGUCUGAGGCCUACAAGAAGCGGGACAUCUAUGACAAAUAUGGCAAAGAAGGAUUAGAUGGAGGAGGAAGAGGUGGUGGAAGCCACUUGGACAGUCCGUUUGAGUUUGGCUUUGUAUUCCGAAGCCCAGAUGAUGUCUUCAGGGAAUCGUUUGGUGGCUGGGACUCAUUUUCUUUCGACUUCUUUGAAGACCCAUUCAAUGAUUUUUUUGGUAACUGAAGGGGUCCCCCGAGGAAGCAGAAACCGAGGCACGGGCUCCUUUUUUCUCCCUCCUUCAGUGGAUUUCCAUCAUUUGGAGGUGGAUGUUCUUCAUUUGAUAUAGGAUUCACUUCCUGCGGAUUACUGGGUCACAGGGGAUGUACUUCCUUCUCGUCAGCAUCAUUUGGUGGCAGUAGGAUGGGCAAUUUCAAUUCAAUAUCAAGUUCUACUAAAAUAGUUAAUGGCAGAAAAAUCACUACAGAAAGAAUUGUGGAGAAUGGUCAGGAGAGAGUAGAAGUUGAGGAAGAAGGCCAGUUAGUCCUUGACUAUAAGUGGUAAGGAGCAGCUGCUAUGCUUGGAUAAUAAGUAA